AACAUCAAUAUACGUUCCCAAUCUCUUUACUGAAUCCUGUACUGCAUCAAAAAUAUGUUUUCGAGAAAGACCACAUUGGUUUGCAAGUUCUGGGGAAUCAUGAAGUUGAACACCGCGGCUUGAUAGAUCCAUAUAUAAUUUAAUCAAAUCUUUUCUGACUGGGGAAAAGCAUUUCGACAUAAUAACUAUGCUGCUACGAGGAAUCUCGUAUUUACGUAUAAACUUUCCAACCAAUUCUUCUGACACCCCAGCUGAAUAAAUGUUUGCUGUGUCAAAUGUACGAAUUCCAGCAUCGUAAGCAGCCUUCAUUAUUUUGAAAACCUCAUCUUCUUCUUCAAGCACCCAGUCUUCCCAAUAUUC